CCUUCGAUAGCUCAGUUGGUAGAGCGGUGGACUGUAGUUGAGAAAAAAUUGUCUUAAAAGAUAUCCAUAGGUCGCUGGUUCAAAUCCGGCUCGAAGGA
rnacentral:tRNA from 1 species